ensembl:antisense Gm16572 predicted gene 16572
GAUCUCAAGGUGUUUUUCAAGUUCCAGUGUUCACUAAACUACAUGCCGUAGUAUUCAAACCAGACCUGGGUUCAUUUAUUCCUCACUGUUGUUUCCUAAAGCCAAAAGAGACACCUUGGCUACUUUAACCGCCUUAAAGCGGACUCCAGGAAUAACACCUCCAGCGUGACCUUUUCAACCCAACUCAGCACCAGAGCCUCAUCAUUCUCCUCCAUGCCGCCAGGCGGCCAUCACGGGGGGGCCACCACGGCUGUCAUCUUGCCGU